rnacentral:lncRNA from 1 species
UCAAUAAAUUGUUUCGCAGGUUCCAGCAGCUAGAGGUGUUCUGGGCCACUCACACUAGGAGCCCGAGGGUGCGGUGCCCCAUCUGCUCUUACCUUGUACUCUCUCCUCCGGAACAGCCACAGGACCUUGGAAGACUACAGCAAGACCUCGUUGUCACCUGGCUCCUCUCCCAUUUAGCAUGACCCAAUCUGCUUACCCUGAAUUACGGCCCCACAUCUCCCAAUCUCACCCACAGCCACACUUAUCUUCUUGAAAAUUAUUUAUUUAGCAGAAAUAUGUAGAGAGCCUGCUGGGUACUGGAGCCCAGGCGGGUCCCCUGAACGUGCAGAGCACAGUCUGUUUCACGGUCUCUGCUCCACAUUUAUGGUCUCUGGAUUCUUACCUAUCCCCUGACUUCCACGCAGCUGGGUCUUCCUCCCGGCUGACCUUGGACUAAAUGCCUCUUCCUCGGAGAGAGCUUUCUUGACCAGUGACUUAACAUGAACACCAAGGUGUAUGUGGUGCCGGUCACUGCCCAUCCCAUGCUCCUGCCUCAGUCUGGAUCAUGUUCUAGAGUGUCCUGCUCCACAUACACUGCUUGAGGCCACGGUGGACAUCAGAUUACACAGUGUCCACAGUGGACACCAGAGCAGCCAGUACUUAUUCCUCUGGAGAAAGAUUUCUACUCAGCAGCUGUGUGGAGAGGGGGCAGGCCUUGGGCAGGGGUGAGCAAACAGCCUGUGGACACAGGGGAGUGGCCCUGCCUAGCCGCCUCCUUACACACUCACCAUCCCGGCUCACCGUUCACUAUAUCCUGAGAAUGAGAACUGGCUCAGGUGUGCCUCGAAGAUAUCCAAGAGUCAUUGUCACCAUUUGAUUAUGGACUGUCACAGUAGGACAGGAUCAAAGAGCAUAUUAGAAGAGGGAGCUUUCAAAUCACUUCCAGAUAAUCUAUUUUGGAAAUCGGACACGGACCUAUGCACCAUCCUGGUUCUCCACCAAGGCAGUGGGCUGGUGGCUGGAGUACUGCCCCGAGCUCCCUCUGCUACCCUGAAGAGUCUGGAGUUGAGGGUACCCCCAGGACACAUGGGGGAGGACUCUCCCCCACUUCUCUGCUCCCCAGUGCGGCUGCUCCUCCGCUCUGUUAGAGGAAGUCAGAGCCUCCUUCUCCAUGUUCUUUCCAACUGGGCCACAGCUGCUCACAGGGGGGAGGCUGCAGGGUCUGGAUGUCUGCUUCCCAAGGUCACGGGAUGAUGGCAGCAGGAAGCUGAGGUCAGCCAAGGGGGGGUAAGCGUCUCUGCUGCUGACCUGUCCAGAGCACCAUUCCUGUUUGCCGCCUGACCUGGGGCUGUACUAGAAACCUGUGUAAGUGGAACUUCACUGAGAGCUACGGAAGAGAGGGAAGAGCCACUUCCCACACCACGGCGAAUCCCACAGGGUGAGUGAUCUCUCUCCCACAUUGUGGGAAAGGCAGUAGCCCCCU